rnacentral:rRNA from 1 species
GUUUGAUCAUGGCUCAGAGCGAACGCUGGCGGCGUGCUUAACACAUGCAAGUCGAACGAGACCUUCGGGUCCAGUGGCGGACGGGUGAGUAACGCGUGGGAAUCUGCCUAGCGGCGGGGAAUAACAGUUGGAAACGACUGCUAAUACCGCAUACGCCCCAUGGGGGAAAGGCUUCGGCCACCGCUAGAGGAGCCCGCGUCCGAUUAGCUAGUUGGUGAGGUAACGGCUCACCAAGGCGACGAUCGGUAGCUGGUCUGAGAGGAUGAUCAGCCACACUGGGACUGAGACACGGCCCAGACUCCUACGGGGGGCAGCAGUGGGGAAUAUUGGACAAUGGGGGAAACCCUGAUCCAGCGACGCCGCGUGGGUGAUGAAGGCCUUCGGGUUGUAAAGCCCUUUCGUCCACGAUGAUGAUGACAGUAGUGGAAGAAGAAGCUCCGGCUAACUUCGUGCCAGCAGCCGCGGUAAUACGAAGGGGGCUAGCGUUGCUCGGAAUUACUGGGCGUAAAGCGCACGUAGGCGGCCAUGAUAGUCAGAUGUGAAAGGCCUGGGCCCAACCCGGGAAUUGCAUUUGAUACUGCAUGGCUAGAGUCCAAGAGAGGGUAGUGGAAUUCCCAGUGUAGAGGUGAAAUUCGUAGAUAUUGGGAAGAACACCAGUGGCGAAGGCGGCUACCUGGCUUGGUACUGACGCUCAGGUGCGAAAGCGUGGGGAGCGAACAGGAUUAGAUACCCUGGUAGUCCACGCCGUAAACGAUGGGUGCUAGAUGUCGGGCAGCUUGCUGUUCGGUGUCGUAGCUAACGCGUUAAGCACCCCGCCUGGGGAGUACGGCCGCAAGGUUAAAACUCAAAUGAAUUGACGG